CCUAUGAAUCAGGAGGUCAUGGUUUGAUUCCCGGUCAAGACACACGCCUGGGUUAUGGGGUCGAUCCCCAGAAUGAGGCGUGCAGGAGGCAGCUGAUCGAUGAUUCUCUCUCAUCAUUGAUUGUUUCUCUCUCUCUCUCUCCCUCCCUC